rnacentral:piRNA from 1 species
UGAUUCAAAAGAGGACCAAGAGGAGAUU